UUAGGAUGAAGAAGAAAAAUUUUAAUUUUUUUUUUUGUAGAGAAUCUGGAGAAGAAAGUGAAUAUUGUGGACAUUAAGGAGGAGCAUAGUUUAAUAUUUUUUAGAGUAACCCAGGAAAGAGGAAGAAAAAAAGAAAAGUCAAUAGAGGAAGUACUAAUAGUAAAGAAGGAGAAAAGAUAAAUAUUAAGAAAAAUUGAGAGGGAAAAAAUUACUUUCCGAAAAUGAGAGCUUAUGUAGGGGUUGAAAAAUUUAGGGGGAUUAUGGAGUAGAAUAUGAAUAGAAAGAAAAAGAAGAAAAGAAAGUUUUGGAAUAGCAAAAGAAAGAAAAUCUACUAUUCAUGUACUAUGUAUUUAAUAUAUACGGUCAUAUUUAUAACGAAAUGUUGUCAUAGAGAAUAUAUGAAAAAUCAUAUCCAAAGAAAACUAUGACAGAUUUGUAAAAUAAUGUUACAAAGAAUGGUUUUAGAGGGAAUCAUGUGUUAAAACAACAUAUUCACUAUAUUCCUCCAAAAAAUUAUUUUCCUUCUAAUGAGAAAAUAAAUAAAGGAAAAUGCAGUUCACUCAGCUUUGUUUGUGUGCGGGCGCAUAUACAAUCAAUAUAUAGAAUAAAAAAUUUGCCUGCAUAUGCAUAAAAAUAAUUAUUUCUAAAUUCAUUGAUAUCUUUCACCAAUUCUAAAGUGAGCAAAAUUCCUCCAAAAAUAUCUCUUUUUUUUUCCGUUUCAUGAGAAAAUACAAUUCAUGAAAAAUGCAGUUCAUGUGUUCGUAAGCACAUAUACGUCAAUAUAUGGGACUAAAUUUUGCCUGCAUAUACAUGACAUAUUUAUUUCUUCUAUUUUGACAAAAUUUAUAUAUUAUACGUUAAUUCCAAAUUCAUUUAUGUCUUUUAUAACCGUGCGAAGCGCGGACAAAUUUACUUGUAUAACUGCCAAGUUUUCCUUGAAAUCAAUUUAUCAUAUUAUGAUAUAAUAUAUGUUCUCUAUAAAAAUACUUUGUUACAAUAGCCAAAAAAUAUACGGGAUAACCUGUUAAAACAUAUUAAUAUACAGAUAAUGAUAUCUCUAUAAAGCAUGUGAAGAGGGAUGGACCAAAGAAUCACGAAAAUUUUCUCCCUUUGUGGAGGUAGCAGGCCUUAACUCCUUGCCCCUUGGUCGUCGUGUCUUACUAUUUUUCUUUUCUGCUGAAUUUGUUCUUCUUACGUUUACUAAACGUGUUCAACUGAAUCUCCUAUGCCAAAAAUUAUAUUAUAUGUAUAUAAACAAAAAAAAUUCAUAUAUAAGUUGUAAAACUACCUAGGCAUAAGAAAGCAUUUUGCAGUUGAAAGGUUUUUUUUUUCGUGUUUUAAUAGUUUGUUGUAUGUUUUCUUGGUUGUGAACUUUCUCUUUCUGACUCUCUCUCUCUCCAAAAUAUGUCUUAUCAACAUUCUCUAUACGCCAUUUCAUGUUAAUUUCUUUUUCUAGUAAUCUGUUUGACCAAGAAGCAAAACUAUUUAUUACUAUAUGUAAACCAACUACUUUAUCUUUAUAAAUUGAAUAUAGCCCUAAACCACAAGAACAAAUUUUUCACAACGGUACUAACAAGAAUUCUUCCUAAACAAAAUCAUUGAACACACAAAACAAAAACGAAAUUAAAUCAAAACAUUUCCUUUUCAAUUCUAAUAUAGAUUCCAUAAUAUAUAUUCUUCAUUCAAGAGAACAGAUAUCUUUUACAUUACUGCGACAUUCACAUUCUCUCUCUGCAAUCUAUCCUAAUUUUUACCUCUUAAGAUAAAAUUUAGGAACUUUAAUUUACCAUUCCGAAAUUCUCAUUUAUAUUUUCUUCUUUUAAUCAAGGUUCCUUUGGUGUUUUGUUCGAUCUAAUUUGGUGCAAUAUACAUUAAUUUUGUGGGAUUCGUGGGGUGUUAGGGUUAGCCGAAGCCAUUCGCCUAAUGUCAAAAUUAU
rnacentral:lncRNA from 1 species